rnacentral:rRNA from 1 species
GACAAACGCUGGCGGCGUGCCUAACACAUGCAAGUCGAGCGAUGAAGUUUCCUUCGGGAAACGGAUUAGCGGCGGACGGGUGAGUAACACGUGGGUAACCUGCCUCAUAGAGGGGAAUAGCCUCCCGAAAGGGAGAUUAAUACCGCAUAAUAUUACAGUUUUGCAUGAAACAGUAAUUAAAGGAGCAAUCCGCUAUGAGAUGGACCCGCGGCGCAUUAGCUAGUUGGGGAGGUAACGGCUCACCAAGGCGACGAUGCGUAGCCGACCUGAGAGGGCGAUCGGCCACAUUGGGACUGAGACACGGCCCAGACUCCUACGGGAGGCAGCAGUGGGGAAUAUUGCACAAUGGGGGAAACCCUGAUGCAGCAACGCCGCGUGAGUGAUGACGGUCUUCGGAUUGUAAAGCUCUGUCUUUGGGGACGAUAAUGACGGUACCCAAGGAGGAAGCCACGGCUAACUACGUGCCAGCAGCCGCAGUAAAAC